rnacentral:rRNA from 1 species
AGAGUUUGAUCAUGGCUCAGAUUGAACGCUGGCGGCAGCCCUUAUACAUGCAAGUCGAACGAGAAAGUUUCUUCGGGAGCGAGUAAAGUGGCGGACGGGUGAGUAACGCGUAGGAAUCUACCUUUCAGUGGGGGAUAGCUCGGGGAAACUCGAAUUAAUACCGCAUACACCCUUCGGGGGAAAGGGGGCCUCUCCUUGGAAGCUCUCGCUGUUAGAUGAGCCUGCGUGAGAUUAGCUUGUUGGUAAGGUAAUGGCUUACCAAGGCUACGAUCUCUAGCUGGUCUGAGAGGACGAUCAGCCACACUGGGACUGAGACACGGCCCAGACUCCUACGGGAGGCAGCAGUAGGGAAUAUUGGACAAUGGGGGCAACCCUGAUCCAGGCAUGCCGCGUGUGUGAAGAAGGCCUUAGGGUUGUAAAGCACUUUAAGUGAGGAAGAAAAGAUUUAAACUAAUACUUUAAGUCCCUGACAUUACUCACAGAAUAAGGACCGGCUAACUCCGUGCCAGCAGCCGCGGUAAUACGGAGGGUCCAAGCGUUAAUCGGAAUUACUGGGCGUAAAGCGCGCGUAGAUGGUUUAUUCAGUUGGGUGUGAAAUCCCUGGGCUCAACCUAGGAACUGCAUUCAAAACUUAUAAACUAGAGUACGAAAGAGGAGAGUAGAAUUCAUGGUGUAGCGGUGAAAUGCGUAGAGAUCAUGAGGAAUACCAGUGGCGAAGGCGACUCUCUGGUUCGAGACUGACAUUGAGGUGCGAAAGCGUGGGUAGCAAACAGGAUUAGAUACCCUGGUAGUCCACGCCGUAAACGAUGAGAACUAGCCGUUGGAUCUUUA